rnacentral:rRNA from 1 species
UACAGAGGUCCCAAGCGUUGUUCGGAUUCACUGGGCGUAAAGGGUGCGUAGGUGGUCGGGUAAGUCUGAUGUGAAAUCUCCAAGCUCAACUUGGAAACUGCAUCGGAUACUAUUCGGCUGGAGGGUUGGAGGGGGACUGGAAUGCUUGGUGUAGCAGUGAAAUGCGUAGAUAUCAAGCGGAACACCAGUGGCGAAGGCGAGUCCCUGGACAACUCCUGACACUGAGGCACGAAAGCUAGGGGAGCAAACAGG